GUGAGGAUAUGGAGAAAUUGGAAGCCUAUGCACUGUUGGUGGGAGUGUAAAAUGGUAUCACUGCUGUAGAAGACAGUAUGGUUUAUAAAAAAAUUAAUAUAAUUACCAUAUGAUCCAGCAUUUCCACUUCUGGAUAGAUAAACUACAAAGGAUUGAAAUCAGGAUCUCAAAGAUAUUUGUACAUCCAUGUUCAAGCAACUCUAUUCAUAGUAACUGAAACAUAGUGUGCAACCCAAGUGUCCAUCAGUAGAUGAAUGAAUAAGCAAAAUGUGAAUAUUUACUUUGGUUUUGAUGACAGCAAUGGUAGGAUGACCAGAAGAAAAUGGAAAGGAAUGCUCCUACUCCAGUACAGAUAACCUUCUCAAGUGUUAGAAGACAGGAAUUCUGCUGUAUUGAUAGGGCAGGUCCAAGUAUUUUUGGUAGUUUUGAAACCUGGUUCUAGGGAUUUUCAAGUGGGAAACAAGAUCUGUCUGGUUACUUACUUUAGUUACUUUGGCUUCUUUUCUGUGGGAUCUUCAUAGAAAUAGAUUCUCAAAGAGUUGAUUAGUGGAUAAUUUUCCCACGUGUGUAAGAAAGGUAGAAUACUUUUGUAAUACAAUGAUUUAUUUGAUGUGAGGAGAGGUGCCUGGUGAAAGAGAACAUGCUGUGAAGCCUAGGGACCUCUCUUUAAUUAGCAGUGAGGCUGUGGAAAGAGCUAAAGUCUAGGAAUCAAAAGAACCAUGAUCUGAUUCUAGUUAUGCUAGUGAUUAGCUGACUGACUUUAGGUAAAACUGUUUGCCCUUUCUGUGCCUCUGUUUCCUUACAUGUGUAUGGAGAUAUAAGAAAGAAAUAUUGUGUUUUUCACUGCCUAGAUAAAAUGAUCACAAUAUUUGCUUUACUAUAGGAGUUUAUAAAAAUAAGUAACAUCUUAAAAAAAAAAGUAACCUCUUGCCAUUCUAGCAGCUAGAUGGCACCACUGCCUCUAACAUUUGUUUAAUAAUUUGAAUUUAAUUGCAGCUCGUGCUGAAUAUGCUGUACUUCUUUUCUUCCAGGAUGGCUUUUGUCAAAAGUUCAACUCUUGGGUUGCUAUGAUGAUCCACCCACCCUGGACCCGUACCCCUGUCGCCAGGCAACUGAAUUUUAAGAGGAAAUUCCUGGAGACCCUAAAACCUUCAAGACACAAAGAAUACAAGAUAGAGAAAAAUAGUGACAGUCAGUUCUUUUGGAGUAACAUAUCACUGCCUCAAACAUACUUCAUAGGUAAUGCUCCUUAUUUCUUUCUUCCAUGGCUCUGUGUGACUGGGGGGGAUAAGUAAAAUGUUAGUUUCUGUGUGCUGGACCAGUGUAUAUUCUGUUGGCCAAGUAGUAUUUUUGUAAGCCAAAUGGCCUCUUUAGAUUGAUUUCCAAGGCUGGGCAUUUAGAUCAGAUUCACGUGAUGCAAAUAUUGCAUAUCAUAUGAAACAGAAGACCCUGACCAGAUACUGACCUCCCAGAAUGUGGUGCCAAAAGAUUAACAAAUGGAUGAAAUUUGGGUCUCUGAUGUCAACCUGGCUUUUAAAAAGGAGUUAUAAGCAAUGGUAGUGAUAAGUAGGCAAAAUACUGUUACAUGUAAGUCUAAAUAAACAAAAUGAUAGGAGCACACUGAAUAUAAAUAGAUAAAAGUUUUC